AAUUUUGGUGGGUUGCCUAUAAUGGAUUGCUCUUCUGGGUUACUAGCUGGACCGGAUCGAUUGGUCUUGAUCCGUUUAAUGGAGGUGAAUGCCGGCGUCUGAUUCAUCUACCUGGUGCAUUCUCCUACAACUGUAAUAAAUGUGUUGCAGUGUGUAGGGGAAUGUUGAGAUUGUUCCAGGUUAAAGACAAUAUGAUGGUAGAUACUGUAUCUAUUCGUGUUUGGGAUCUCAAGAACUAUGAGAUGUGUGAAUGGUGCCUGCAACAUCAAUAUAAUUUCUCAGGAUUGCGAUCGGAGAAGUCCGCUUGAUUCAAAGACAAGGAAGAUCCAACAAAGAUGCUGAUGAAAGCAGCUUGUGAUCCUAAAAAUGGAUAUAUUGUGUACAUGAUGAUGAGCGGAAACAAGUUGUAUCGUGCAACACGAGAAUCCAAA
rnacentral:misc_RNA from 1 species